rnacentral:rRNA from 1 species
UACGUAGGGUGCAAGCGUUAAUCGGAAUUACUGGGCGUAAAGCGUGCGCAGGCGGUUUUGUAAGUCUGUCGUGAAAUCCCCGGGCUCAACCUGGGAAUUGCGAUGGAGACUGCAAGGCUAGAAUCUGGCAGAGGGGGGGUAGAAUUCCACGUGUAGCAGUGAAAUGCGUAGAGAUGUGGAGGAAUACCGAUGGCGAAGACAGCCCCCCUGGGCCAAUACUGACGCUCAUGCACGAAAGCGUGGGGAGCAAACAGG